CUGAAGCAGGAGGCAAAUGGCCGAUUCUCUCUGGAGGAAGAUGUGAAAAUCCAGGAUCCUGUGGACAUCGGUGGCUUUGGCUCCCUUGGGCGAGUGAGCAGAGUGAUGCUUCUCAGACUGCAGUAAAGAAUUUCUUUUGAAAUUUCCUGGAAGGCGGUUGUGCUGGGGUCGCAUCCCAUCAGUAUCACUUCCAUUUUUCUCUUCAUCUGCUGGCGAGCUUGGUAACGCUCUUGUCCUGCACGCUUUGGGCUGUGUGCCAGGUUCACCUGGUUGGCAGAAUUGCAGUUACCACAAGACAACUGCAGCUGUGUCAAGCUGCAACCCUAUACCUGCUUUCAGAUUUUUGGAUGGAUACCCAGAAAUGGGAUCGCUAGCUCACACGAAUGUCUUCCUGUUUGUGUAUCCUCUACUAUCAAUGCAAAGUACCUCUCAUCCAAUUUUCCACAGUCAACCCAAUGCGAAUACAAUCGACCCUCUGCGUCCUACUGUUCUGCAUCCCUGGAUUCAACCAACCAUCCAUUGAAGAUAUUUGGAAACAAAAACUGCACUUCUAGAGCAGCAAGAGACAUAGCACUCCUCCCCUGCAGAGACCACAGAAUCAUGGCGUCAUCUUGGAAGCAAAGAACAGCCCUCACCAGACACUAAACCUGUUGGCACUUUGAUGUUGGACUUCCCAGCAUCCAGAACUCUAAAAACUAAAAUUACUCAGUGCUUGUUAUUUUGUUCUAGCACACAAAUGGACUAAGAUAUUGCUAUAUUUUCUAGUGUUGAAAAUACAUUCAAUGUAACAAUUGCCCUCAGAUGUUGUCUAACAUAUAACUAAGAUCUAAAAAAUGCAACAAAAGCUUUGUGUUUUAGACUGGUGUUGUAUAUAAGAGUAAGAGGAGAGACAGGAAACUAGCCUGAUUUGAGAGGGAUGUAUUUGGGGCACCCAGUGUAACACCACACACAUAGAAGCCAAUAAAUAAAUGUUUGUUGAGUUAAUAAAAAGUGAGGUCUGUGAACAGGGGACUUUAUUAUUAUGGGAGGCACAGGGUGCAGUAGAAAUGGCUCUGGCCUUGAGGACACAUCUGUCCUGCACAUCUUUUGCUGCUCCUUCAUCCACUCCAGCCCUUAUGUACCUUAUGUACCUUAUGUACCCAUGAUGGCCUCCACUUGAGCUCUCUCCCCUUCUGGCUCUCAGAUAGGUAGGGCCAGUGGGGAGCAAUGGGAGAGGUCAGAGGGAGAAGGGAAGAGAAGGAGGCCACAGUACUCAAUCCUUGACCCCUUCCUUGUAAUGUCUAGGGAUAGCUGUGUCUCCCAAUCACAAGCCACUGUCCUGCCCUUUUUGACCUCCGACCCCAUCAACAUUCCAAGGGUGGAAAUGGUGAGGUUGGUGCUCUCCUCUGGGCACUGUUGUAACCUGUGGCUUCCCAACACCCUGCUGUAAACAGUCUUUUGAUGAAAGUCUUCUCAAAUUGCUUAAUUUGGACAGUGACAGCCUUUCCCACAUGGGCCUGUACAGCUAUGCUUGUUCAUAGGGAACACUUGGUUUUGUGCAGUAAAAAUCCAGUGAAGUGUGUUAAAGAAAAAAGCAAAGACAUGGGGUGAUGCAUGAGAAGCUGUUGAGUAACUUCUAGGGCCCAGAGGCAAGGUCAUCAGAACCCUUCCCAUGUGGUGCCAGAACUGGAACUAGAAGGUCAGCAGGAAGUAAAAUGGCCAUGCAAGGCACCCCUCCAGGCCUCAGUGGGGCUUUCAUAGCUGCUUCCCUCUGCAUGUCCCCCUGUCUCUCCCCACUAGCCAUGCCUGUCUCUCUUGGUUUCCCUGGUGAGAGAUGUUCCUCCCUUAAUUUACAGGUUCACAUGUUCUUAACUCAACUCACUAAGGUUCACAAUGCCUCUUAGGCCUUAAAAGAAUAACUAGGCUUUUCCACACAGGGCCAACACUCCACGCUUAUCCAAUUAGCUAUGGCAGGAGGAUCUGGGUCUGUUGUAUUUCUGCCUUCAUGAAUGAGGAAACAGUGGUAUAGUUACAUAAUUUUUAAGGUCACAUGGUGGUAGGACAAG
ensembl:lncRNA